UACGGGGGGGGUAAGCGUUGUUCGGAAUUACUGGGCGUAAAGGGCUCGUAGGCGGCCAACUAAGUCAGACGUGAAAUCCCUCAGCUUAACUGGGGAACUGCGUCUGAUACUGGAUGGCUUGGAUUUGGGAGAGGGAUGCGGAAUUCCAGGUGUAGCGGUGAAAUGCGUAGAUAUCUGGAGGAACACCGGUGGCGAAGGCGGGUCUCUGGGCCGAUACUGACGCUGAGGAGCGAAAGCGUGGGGAGCGAACAGG
rnacentral:rRNA from 1 species